rnacentral:rRNA from 1 species
UACGUAGGGUGCGAGCGUUGUCCGGAAUUAUUGGGCGUAAAGGGCUCGUAGGCGGUUUGUCGCGUCGGGCGUGAAAACACUGGGCUUAACUCAGUGCUUGCUUCCGAUACGGGCAGACUAGAGGUAUUCAGGGGAGAACGGAAUUCCUGGUGUAGCGGUGAAAUGCGCAGAUAUCAGGAGGAACACCGGUGGCGAAGGCGGUUCUCUGGGAAUGUCCUGACGCUGAGGAGCGAAAGUGUGGGGAGCAAACGGG